CUUUUCUAGGGCCGCUUACCGCGGCACAUGGAGGUUCCCAGGAUAGGGGUCUAAUCAGACCUGUAGCCACUGACCUACACCACAGCCACAGCAACUUGGGAUCCGAGCCACGUCUGUGACCUACACCACAGCUCACAGCAACGCCAGAUCCUCAACCCACUGAGCAAGGCCAGGGAUUGAACUCGCAACCUCAUGGUUCCUAGUCACAUUCAUUAACCACUGUGCCACGAUGGGAACUCUAAUAACUGUUGAGUUUUACACAACGUAUAUACUUAACAUUUUCUUACAAGGGGGAAAAAUAGGGAUUCAUGUGGAAAGUACUCAAUUUACAAAAUGUCCCUAGGAAUCCAGAAAUAAAUUGUAAAAUAAAUGUGAAGGGCUUACCACACAGAUCUACUUCACCUCAGAAUAUUAACCUUGGCUAAGCAGAUCAGAUGAACGUAUGCUGUUUUACAUGUAUAUAACUCUUAAAAAAUAAAGGUAAGUAUUCUGCCCGAAAGCAUCCUCUAACAGCUUCCCUUCACUUUGAAUUCUUCUGAAAAUGCUCCUCUCCCUCAGCCUUUUAUGUAGCCUAGGGCUGAUAUCCAAACUAUAUAAUCAGGCAUUUGGAGACCCACAUAUUUGGUUUUCCAGCCUUGCCAUCAGCUGCUUUCCACCAUGAGCUCUUUUUCAGAGAAUUUUGUUUCCUUACCCUCCUCCAAACAAAAACUUCCCAGAAUCUCCUGCACAACCCUUCCUAGUUACUGAUUCCUUUGCUUUGAUCUAUGAAGUAAAUACUUGGGGAUUUUCCCCAAUGGCUGUGUUUUUGCUUUCUGCUUAUCCUUCAUCCACAUUAGAGUGUAAAUUAUUGAGAAAUGAUUUCCUUCCAUCCCAAACUGUCACAAAACAUUCACACACAUUUUGUGCUGCAUAACUCUAGGGAAUCCCCCCAUCCACAAAGAUCACAGUGUCAACAGGGAGCCCUGGAGAACCACCUGCUUCUACAGAUUUGGUAGCUCAUCAUCAACAAGUAGCAGGGCAAACAGUGGACCUAUAUCCAACACUAGGAAAUAACCUAUUUGGACAUCAUUUUAAAAAGCAGGAAAUGAGAAGAACAAAAUGAAUGAAGAAAAUAUUGACGUUGCUCAUGCAUCUGCCCAGGUCAGAGAAUUUUCUUAUGCUCAUGUCCAAUUGCUCUGUUUCAAAUGGGGCAAAUGCUGAGUCUGGUUGAUGGGCCAAAACACAGAGAGUUUAAUGGUUAGAUCUUCCUCUUGACCCAGGGGAAGUAUCUUGAAACUUGGAAUAUGACCUCAGUAUCUUUCUAGGCCACAGCUUUGCAUGGACCACAACCUUGUGCCAACCCCUUUUGUUUGUUAUUACUCUUCCUAUGAAACAACAAAAUUUGAUCUCUCUUUUCUAUACUCCUAAGAAAAACUCAGGAACUUGUUUUUGAAACAUUUUCCCAUUUUGGCCUCUCUGACAUGCUGUGACACUGUUCCCCACCCCCACUUCCCUAUGCCAUGAUAACUCUUUCCUCUAUUCUUUUUUAAAAAAUAAUCCUUUUCUGAUUUAUCCUCCUCUUUUUGCUCCUCCAGUGGUCAUCCUUUAAGGUUCAUAUCUCUGCCUUUUUUUCUCUCUAUAUUUGGUCUUAUGCUAUUAUGCCUUAUGCUAUUACCCCAUUUCCUGAUCACCUCCAUGUGGAAGAUGGAUACUAAAUUCAACUUAUUCAUCUAUUUCUGACCUCUACUUGAACUUUGCACCCAUGUUUCCGUGCCCCACUGAACAUGAUCAAUGGGAUCCGCUGCUGUCCAAUAACCUCACUCCAGUGUAUCCUUCCUGCUCCAUAUCUGUUAAUGUAUUAUCAGUCUUCCUCUCACCAAGGAUUGAAACCUUGAAGCUAUCUUUUUAAUUUCCUUCUCCUUAUCUCCCUUAACCCCCCCAAUCCAUCAGUAAUCAAGGGAUGCUAAUAAUUCAUUCUAAAUUACUUCCCAUAUUUGGCACUUUCAUUACAUUCAUAUCAUUACCACAGUGUAUGCCCUUAUUACUUUAUAUCUGGAUUCAGAUUAAGAUACGGGAGUUAUUUAGUGAGCACCUGCUAGGUGUCAGAAACUGCUGCCUGCUUUUACAAACCUUGAAUGUUUCUCCAGUUUCUUUCCUUUAAAGUCUUCUCAACCCAACUUUUAGAUUAAUAUUUAUAAAAUAUUAAUUUAGUCAUCUCUCUUUUCUCCUGGCAGAAUCCCUCUACUGGCAACUGUAUUUCUUCACUUCUUUUCAACAUCAGCUCUAUUCCACUGAAGCUUCAUCUUGCCUCACUGCUUUAUAUACUGUGAUACAUUUUAAAAAAUGGCCACAGACUAUUCCCAUCUUCAAAUGAAUACCACUUUGUGAUCUAAAACUAUAGUUCCUCCAGUCACAAUACGGCAUCAAUUUUUCUACUUUGCCUUGUGACUGGCUUUGGCCAAUGGGACAAUAAGCAACAUGACUCAAGCAAAGACUGGAAAGGUAGGCUUGCACAAGCACUUGCCCAUUAUUGUUGCACUUGGAACCUUAAGAACAUCACGUUAAUGAACCUAAGCCAGCGUGAUGAAGGAGCACUCUAGCUUACAGUGGAAAAUCACCGGACAUAGGCAAGAGGCCUUCCUUAAUUACCAGCCAUCAGCCAAGCCACCAGCUGCUCACUUCCACAUGAGAGAGCUUAGAAAAUCAGCAAAACCAGCUGGACUAGAACAACUAUUCAGCCAUCCACAAAAUCAUGAACUAAAUAAAUCAUGAACAACUUGGUUGUUUUAAACCACCAAGUUUCAGGAGGGGUUGUUAUGCAGCAAAAGCUGAUCAGCACUUGGGUUAGGUGCCUUCUUUUUGAUGUCGUUCUUAAAUACUCUGGUUCCACAAUGGUUUUCUCUCUUUCUCUCUCUCCUCCUUCCCUCCAGACCUCCUUUUUCUGAGUUUUUAUGGCAUUCUGACUAUACCAUUAGUUCCAGGAGAUCUUGUUAUCUUCCCACACAAUGCCGCCAGUGUCUAUUUCAUGGGAACAACUUGUCUAUACCACUUAUCAGGCACUUAACUAUAUCCUGUCUUAUUGUUAACAUUGCAUGAGCCUAAGUCUAUUUUCUCCAAAUAGGUAACAAAUCUAACCUAUCUCCUUCAAAUUUUACUAUCAGUUUAGAAUAAAUCAGCAUUCCAUGGCCAAAACAUGUAUUCAAUAAGUAAGUAUUGAUUAAAUGAAAGACCCCCUCACAAUUAAAACGUAAAAACAUAUUCAACCAUUUUAGUGCAAAAGUGGGCUAGUAAUUCACAUGACUGGAAAGACCGUAUUCAAUGAGGCUGAGCACAUUCUCUUCUCUGCCCUCCUCCCUGGCUCAUCUCCGAAAUCCAACUUAAGAACCCCCUGCCCAGAGAGAUAAACGGGAACAAAAGCAAAACAUGGGAAAGGGUAAGACCCUGGCUUGCCCUUCAUAUAUUUUUCUAAUCCUUUAUAGUAAGUAGUAGGUUGAAAAUGAUUUAUCUCAUUUAUCUUUCAGCUUUAUGUCAAAUGUACAUUGUGAUAUGCAUAGGAUACACAAUGAAGCUGAGAUUUUUCUUUUGCAGGACCAUUAAGUUAGAAAUGUCUGGCUUUUAUUUUCUGGAGUGCCUACAGCAUUUUUACUUCAGUGCUGCAUUAAAGUAAUUUUUACAUUUAAUAUGGAAUAAAGGCAAAGCUAUCUCACAAUGCCCUAACCACAGGUACGUGGGCGAACAGUUGUCUACAGAUUAUAGCUUGGAAACGGAUUCAAAGGAAAGCUAAGAAAGGCAAAACAACUCAAUUUGGAAUGUGAAUCAGCCUUGGAAUUGGCAUGCUUCAGUGAGAAUGGUGUUUUCUUUCCUGCUUCAGAGAUGGCUCCCCAAUACAAAUUCUGCUUCCAAGAUAUAUAGGGUAUAGCAUUCCAAUCUGGAGAGAUUUGGAGGCUCCUUGAGCACAGAAUUUUUUUAAAAAAAGCACAGCAUAUACAUUUUCCAUAAACCCGCUAUUAAAAACAAAUGCUUACAUAUACUUAUCAUCUUCAGGUAUUUUAUCUCCUCUACACUCCUCCAUGAUAAACAGAUGGAAAUAAAUCCCCAGUUAAGUAGGCAUCAGAUUGGCAAGGAAGGAAGAGGCAGCAGAGAAGCUGAGGUGGAAACAAAUGAUAGGACUUAGAUUCUUUCCUUUUUCUAAAUCUUUAAGGCUAAGGACAUUGCUUUGCUCACUCAAUCUCAUAUUAUAUUCUUUCAUUGAUUAAAAAAAUUACUCUGCCAAAACUAGAAGCAACAAGAUGUUUCUUCAUAAGUGAAUAAAGAAACUGUGGUAUAGACACAAGAGUGGAUUUUAUUCAGCAAUAAGAAGAAAUGAGUGAUUAAGCAACAAAAAGAUAUGGAUAAAUCUUUUUGUUUGCUUGUUUUCUUUUUAGGGCCUUACCCAUGGCAUAUGGAAGUUCCCAGGCUAGGGGAUGAAUCAGAGUGGUAGCUACCG
rnacentral:lncRNA from 1 species